rnacentral:rRNA from 1 species
UACGGGGGGAGCAAGCGUUGUUCGGAUUUACUGGGCGUAAAGGGCGCGUAGGCGGCCUCUGCAAGUCAGUUGUGAAAUCUCCGGGCUUAACUCGGAAAGGUCAACUGAUUCUGCAGGGCUAGAGUGCGGAAGGGGCAACUGGAAUUCUCGGUGUAGCGGUGAAAUGCGUAGAUAUCGAGAGGAACACCUGCGGCGAAGGCGGGUUGCUGGGCCGACACUGACGCUGAAGCGCGAAAGCUAGGGGAGCGAACGGG